AGGCUUGUAGUUUAUAAAAAGAAUUUUUGAUUUGCAGUUAAAUGGAGCUAGAAAGUUAGGUCUA
rnacentral:tRNA from 1 species